rnacentral:lncRNA from 1 species
UCUUGCUUAUUUUUCCUCUCACUUCAAUAUGAAUUUCUUCCUAAGUUGCUUCUAAUUUGUGUAUGAUUUUUUUUUUUGCAAAUUAGUUAAAGUAUACUUACCUUAUGGUUUUGAGAUUAUUCUACCUAAACAUUAAUUAAUUCAAACAACAUGUUUCAAUAAAAAGAAAGUGAAUUUGAUAUUCAAUGAAUAUUUAUGUUUUUAUCUU